AAGUCGUAACAAGGUUUCCGUAGGUGAACCUGCGGAAGGAUCAUUAACACGUAUCCAAACGUCCCCCGUGAACCUUCAUCCUGCUCUUGUAACCCGCGUAGUUCGCAAUCUCUGAUAAAUCAUAGCCCGGAAAGUUGUAGUGAUUCAGAGACCUCUGGCUACGUGCGAACAUUGGAACGGUUACAAUCGAGCAAGUGUUGGAAAGUGUCAUUGAUUGUGCAAGGAUAGCGCUUCUACGAUUCCUGUAGACCGUACACUCGGGCAGGAGCUUUGCCAAAGGGUCCCCAUGCCCCCUAAUAACCCCACAGUUUAAUGUGAAGCUCAAUGUAAUACAUUGGGUAAAAAAACCGAACAACUGUUAACAAUGGAUAUCUUGGUUCUC
rnacentral:misc_RNA from 1 species